AUUUGUCCCAUAAAUAGGGACUAGUAUGAACGGCUAACUGAGGUUCUAACUGUCUCAUUAGACUAAUCAAUGAAACUGAUCUUUCAGUACAAAAGCUGAAAUAAACCCAUAAGACGAGAAGACCCUGUGGAGCUUAAAACACAUACUAUUAACACAUAUCUACAAAUUUUUUAGUUGGGGCGACUUUGGAACAAAACCAAACUUCCAUGUCAGGUCCCUGUCAAGGCCAACACGCCAAAACACACAAUAUUGACCCAGCCACAUCAAGCUGAGCAACGAACCAAGUUACCCCAGGGAUAACAGCGCCAUCCUCUUCAAGAGUCCAUAUCGACAAGAGGGUUUACGACCUCGAUGUUGGAUCAGGACACCCCGGUGGUGCAACCGCUA
rnacentral:rRNA from 1 species